AAUUCUCAACCCCACCGAUUUGCGUCGGCUUGCGGGCUUGGACUUGGAGCGUGCUGGCGAAAGUCGGCUCCUCUCUAAAUGCAUCAGCGGAUAACUUUAUACCCUUUGCUGUCAUCAGUGUGAUAAUCAUGUCUCGCUGUUACCAGGCUCAGCGGUGUCCGCUUCUAAUGGUCUCCUUCCGAGACAGAUACACUUUUAA
rnacentral:misc_RNA from 1 species